AGUGAACGCUGGCGGUAGGCCUAACACAUGCAAGUCGAACGGCAGCACAGUAAGAGCUUGCUCUUACGGGUGGCGAGUGGCGGACGAGUGAGGAACACAUCGGAAUCUACUUUUUCGUGGGGGAUAACGUAGGGAAACUUACGCUAAUACCGCAUACGACCUACGGGUGAAAGCAGGGGAUCUUCGGACCUUGCGCGAUUGAAUGAGCCGAUGUCGGAUUAGCUAGUUGGCGGGGUAAAGGCCCACCAAGGCGACGAUCCGUAGCUGGUCUGAGAGGAUGAUCAGCCACACUGGAACUGAGACACGGUCCAGACUCCUACGGGAGGCAGCAGUGGGGAAUAUUGGACAAUGGGCGCAAGCCUGAUCCAGCCAUACCGCGUGGGUGAAGAAGGCCUUCGGGUUGUAAAGCCCUUUUGUUGGGAAAGAAAAGCAGCAGGUUAAUACCCCGCUGUUCUGACGGUACCCAAAGAAUAAGCACCGGCUAACUUCGUG
rnacentral:rRNA from 1 species